rnacentral:rRNA from 1 species
UUUUUUUGGGACCCUCCCCGGGGUUUUUUAAGAAUGAACCCCUUGCGGUUUAGAUUUAAAGUAUAGUUGGGGGGGGGGAAAAUGGCCCUCCCACAAGGGGGGAGGAUUUUAAAAGGUGGUUUUGGAAAGGGAGGAUUUCAACCCCCCUGGGGGAUUGGGGACCCGGCCCCAGACUUCUUUCGGGAGGGCCAGCCGUGGGGAAAUAUUGGACAAAUGGGGGAAAGCCUGAUCCACCAAUUCCCACGUGUGUGAAGAAGCCUGGAGGGUUGUAAAAGCACUUUCAAUUGGGAGGAAACCAGCUGGGUUAAUAGCCCUGCUCUUGACAUUACCUUCAGAAGAAGCACCGGCUAACUCCGUCCCAGCAGCCGCGGUAAUACGGAGGGUGCGAGCGUUAAUCGGAAUUACUGGGCGUAAAGCGUACGUAGGCGGUUAUUUAAGUCAGAUGUGAAAGCCCCGGGCUCAACCUGGGAACUGCAUUUGAUACUGGAUAACUAGAGUUUGAUAGAGGAGAGUAGAAUUUCUGGUGUAGCGGUGAAAUGCGUAGAGAUCAGAAGGAAUACCAGUGGCGAAGGCGCUCUCUGGAUCAAAACUGACGCUGAGGUACGAAAGCGUGGGUAGCAAACAGGAUUAGAUACCCUGGUAGUCCACGCCGUAAACGAUGUCAACUAGCCGUUGGGUCCAAUUAAGGACUUAGUGGUGCAGCUAACGCAUUAAGUUGACCGCCUGGGGAGUACGGCCGCAAGGCUAAAACUCAAAUGAAUUGACGGGGGCCCGCACAAGCGGUGGAGCAUGUGGUUUAAUUCGAUGCAACGCGAAGAACCUUACCUACCCUUGACAUACUAAGAACUUUCCAGAGAUGGAUUGGUGCCUUCGGGAGCUUAGAUACAGGUGCUGCAUGGCUGUCGUCAGCUCGUGUCGUGAGAUGUUGGGUUAAGUCC